CCUACGGGUGGCUGCAGUGGGGAAUUUUGGACAAUGGGGGCAACCCUGAUCCAGCCAUGCCGCGUGAGUGAAGAAGGCCUUCGGGUUGUAAAGCUCUUUCGGACGGAACGAAAUCGCGCGGGUGAAUAUCCCGUGUGGAUGACGGUACCGUAAGAAGAAGCACCGGCUAACUACGUGCCAGCAGCCGCGGUAAUACGUAGGGUGCGAGCGUUAAUCGGAAUUACUGGGCGUAAAGCGUGCGCAGGCGGUCGCGCAAGUCAGGUGUGAAAGCCCCGGGCUUAACUUGGGAAUUGCAUUUGAAACUACGUGACUGGAGUGUGGCAGAGGGAGGUGGAAUUCCACGUGUAGCGGUGAAAUGCGUAGAGAUGUGGAGGAACACCGAUGGCGAAGGCAGCCUCCUGGGCCAACACUGACGCUCAUGCACGAAAGCGUGGGGAGCAAACAGGAUUAGAUACCCUAGUAGUCC
rnacentral:rRNA from 1 species